ACUGGCAGCCGUACAAACGGAAGUGAGGUUACGAAAGUAAAGACGGGCGUGAGUAAGACUGGCGGGGCACUGAGCACUUCUCGCCUUAUCUCAGGAAGAACCCCGAACUAAGUGAAUGAAAAACGCAUCUGAUUCACAUCAAAUAAAGACGCCAUAAGUCCUGACUCAUCAAAUAUCGGCGUGUGACAGGCACGCCGUCAGCUGAUCCACAGUGUCUGCCAGUGCUAAAGUCCUGAGACGAAGGACGAGUUGGCCAGGUCCUACGUAGAGGUGAUGCUGUAGAUGGUGAGUCUCUCCGUGGGACAGUCGCUACAGGAAGGCCAAUGACAACAGAAGCCAGUGUCUCAUCACAGACAGCAAGGAAGGGCAGGAGCUCCUCCACCAUGACCCUGGUGGGAGUCAGAAAGGAAGCACGCUGGUCCUCAUCAGAAGACGUUCUAGAUGCCAGUCAGGCGCACGUCUAAACCGGGGCCAGUGGCCUAACCGUGCUUGAUAUGACAGAGGUUCAAGAAGGAGACUUCUCAGUCGGAGAAGUUGAGAACUGUGCUUGGGGAAACAAAAGUGGACUCACAUGAUUCUCCGUUCACUCAGCAGACACCGGUUCAGAGCUGAUGUGCCAGGCACUGAGGGAGACCUUGAAGGAAGUCAGUGGCCCUAUUAAAACAGCUUCUGUCCUCAAGGAGUGCUCGGUGGAGAAGGGGGUGGGAAUGGGAAGACACCCUAUCCUAUCUCCUGACUGGAGAACAGAAAAUAGCAGACUUAUUCUUCGGAGAGGGGAUCUCACAUGGUUUCUCAAAGGAAGAAGAUUUGAGGACUGGGUGGACUGAGCUGAGGAGGUAGAGUGGAAGCUUAUGGUAGUUCUGAUGGUCCUGGCUGACGUAAACAAGGCCAGGCUGUAGUUCAGUGGCAGAGGACACCCUGGGUUAGGGCCCAGCCAAAAUGGAGAAAAAGAAAUCAAAAUGGAGGGGCCAGAGAGAUGGCUCUGUGGUUAAGAGUCCUGAGUUCAAAUCCCAGCAACCACAUGGUUGGUGGCUCACAACCAUCUGUAAUGAGAUCUGAUGCCCUCUUCUGGUGUGUCUGAAGACAGUGACAGUAUAUACAGAAGACAGCAAUCAUGUAUAAUAAAUAAAUAAAUCUAAAAAAA
rnacentral:sRNA from 1 species